GUGCCUAACACAUGCAAGUCGAACGAGAAAUUUCCCUGAGUAAUCAGAGAAAAAGUAAAGUGGCAGACGGGUGAGUAACAGGUGGGCAACCUGCCCUUAAAUUGGGGAUACCCCAUCGAAAGGUGGGCUAAUACCUAAUAAGACUACAACUACUCAGGUGGAUGUAGUAAAAGAUGGCUUUUAAAGAGCUUUCGCUUAAGGAGGGGCCCGCCUACCAUUAGCUAGUUGGUAGGGUAACGGCUUACCAAGGCGACGAUGGUUAGCUGGUCUGAGAGGAUGAUCAGCCACACUGGAACUGAGAUACGGUCCAGACUCCUACGGGAGGCAGCAGUGAGGAAUUUUGCGCAAUGGGGGAAACCCUGACGCAGCGACGCCGCGUGGGUGACGAAGGCCUUCGGGUCGUAAAGCUCUGUCGGGUGGAAAGAAAUAAAGUAGGGUUAAUAGCCUUACUUUUUGACGGUACCACCAAAGGAAGCACCGGCCAACUCCGUGCCAGCCGCCGCGGUAAUACA
rnacentral:rRNA from 1 species